rnacentral:rRNA from 1 species
UGGGGAAUUUUCCGCAAUGGGCGAGAGCCUGACGGAGCAACGCCGCGUGAGGGAGGAAGGCCUGUGGGUUGUAAACCUCUUUUCUCAGGGAAGAAGAUCUGACGGUACCUGAGGAAUCAGCAUCGGCUAACUCCGUGCCAGCAGCCGCGGUAAGACGGAGGAUGCAAGCGUUAUCCGGAAUUAUUGGGCGUAAAGCGUCCGUAGGUGGUUAAUCAAGUCUGUUGUUAAAUUCCGCAGCUCAACUGUGGUUCAGCGAUGGAAACUGAUUGACUAGAGUGUGGUAGGGGUAGAGGGAAUUCCUAGUGUAGCGGUGAAAUGCGUAGAUAUUAGGAAGAACACCAGUGGCGAAGGCGCUCUACUGGGCCAUAACUGACACUGAUGGACGAAAGCUAGGGGAGCGAAAGGGAUUAGAUACCCCCGUAGUCC